rnacentral:rRNA from 1 species
GAGUUUGAUCCUGGCUCAAUUGAACGCUGGCGUUAGGCCUAACACAUGCAAGUCGAGCGGAUGAGGAGCUUGCUCUUCGAUUCAGCGGCGGACGGGUGAGUAAUGCCUAGAAUCUGCCUGGUAUGGGGGACAACGUUUCGAAAGGAACGCUAAUACCGCAUACGUCCUACGGGAGAAAGCAGGGGACCUUCGGGCCUUGCGCUAUCAGAUGAGCCUAGGUCGGAUUAGCUAGUUGGUGAGGUAAUGGCUCACCAAGGCGACGAUCCGUAACUGGUCUGAGAGGAUGAUCAGUCACACUGGAACUGAGACACGGUCCAGACUCCUACGGGAGGCAGCAGUGGGGAAUAUUGGACAAUGGGCGAAAGCCUGAUCCACCAUGCCGCGUGUGUGAAGAAGGUCUUCGGAUUGUAAAGCACUUUAAGUUGGGAGGAAGGGCAUUAACCUAAUACGUUAGUGUUUUGACGUACCCGACAGAAUAACACCGGCUAACUCUGUGCCAGCAGCCGCGGUAAUACAGAGGGUGCAAGCGUUAAUCGAAUUACUGGGCCGUAAAGCCGCGCGUAAGUGGUUUGUUAAGUUUAAUGUGAAAGCCCCCGGCUCAACCUGGGAACUGCAUUCAAACUGGCAAGCUAGAGUACCGUAGAGGGGGGGGAAAUUCUGUGUACGGAAA